rnacentral:snoRNA from 1 species
GUGCACAUUUCAUUUUUUUUUAUUAAAAGAAAAAAUAUUUCUCAUAUGCUAAACAAACUUGAAGGUAAAUUAAUAGCAUGCUUAUCUUACCCACUGCUUUCAGUCGCCACCCUUCAGACAAGU